UUGAAGAAUUUGAAAACUUCAACUUGCAGACUCGAAGAAUUUAAAGACUUCAACUUGCAAACUUGGAGAUUUUGAAGAUUUCAUCU
rnacentral:pre_miRNA from 1 species